CUUUCUUUGCUGGCGACCGGCGCACGGGUGAGUAACACGUAUCCAACCUACCCUCUACUCGGGGAUAGCCUUUCGAAAGAAAGAUUAAUACCCGAUAGCAUAAUGAUUCCGCAUGGUUUCAUUAUUAAAGGAUUCCGGUAAAGGAUGGGGAUGCGUUCCAUUAGGUUGUUGGUGAGGUAACGGCUCACCAAGCCUUCGAUGGAUAGGGGUUCUGAGAGGAAGGUCCCCCACAUUGGAACUGAGACACGGUCCAAACUCCUACGGGAGGCAGCAUG
rnacentral:rRNA from 1 species